rnacentral:rRNA from 1 species
GACGUAGGGUGCGAGCGUUGUUCGGAUUCACUGGGCGUAAAGGGUGCGUAGGCGGUUGGGUAAGUCUGAUGUGAAAUCUCACAGCUUAACUGUGAAACUGCAUUGGAUACUAUCCGGCUAGAGGAAUGGAGGGGAGACUGGAAUACUUGGUGUAGCAGUGAAAUGCGUAGAUAUCAAGUGGAACACCAGUGGCGAAGGCGAGUCUCUGGACAUUUCCUGACGCUGAGGCACGAAAGCCAGGGGAGCAAACGGG